rnacentral:rRNA from 1 species
CUACGGGCCGCAGCAGUGGGGAAUAUUGCACAAUGGACGAAAGUCUGAUGCAGCAACGCCGCGUGGAGGAUGACACAUUUCGGUGCGUAAACUCCUUUUAUAUAGGAAGAUAAUGACGGUACUAUAUGAAUAAGCACCGGCUAACUCCGUGCCAGCAGCCGCGGUAAUACGGAGGGUGCAAGCGUUACUCGGAAUCACUGGGCGUAAAGAGCGUGUAGGCGGAUAGAUAAGUCAGGAGUGAAAUCCUAUGGCUCAACCAUAGAACUGCUCUUGAAACUGUCUAUCUAGAGUGUGGGAGAGGUAGAUGGAAUUUCUGGUGUAGGGGUAAAAUCCGUAGAGAUCAGAAGGAAUACCGAUUGCGAAGGCGAUCUACUGGAACAUAACUGACGCUGAGACGCGAAAGCGUGGGGAGCAAACAGGAUUAGAUACCCCUGUAGUC